GGCCUAUUGAAUAUAAUUUUAGGUCGAUCUGCCCAAUGAUUUUUAAUUUAAUGGCUGCGGUAUUUUGACUGUACAAAGGUAGCAUAAUCAAUUGUUUUUUAAUUGGAAACUGGAAUGAAAGAAUUAAUGAGAUAUAUACUGUCUCAUAUAUAAUAAAUGAAUUUAAAUUUUUAGUUAAAAUGCUUAAAUUAUUUUAUGGGACGAUAAGACCCUAUAGAAUUUUAUAUUAAUAUAAAUAGUUAUGUUUAUAAAAUUUUUAUAUUAAUAUUUAAUUGGGAGGAUUAGUAAAUUUAAAAAACUUUACUUUAAAUUUAAACUUUGAUUUAAGAAUUUUUUUGAUCUUGUAUUAUGAAAAUAAGAAUAAAUUACCUUAGGGAUAACAGCGUAAUAUCUUUUUAAAGGUCAUAUUGAUAAAGAUGAUUGCGACCUCGAUGUUGAAUUAAGAUAAAUUUUAGAUGGAGAAGUUUAAAAAUUAAGUCUGUUCGACUUUUAAAAUCUUACAUGAUUUGAGUUCAAAUCGACGUGAGU
rnacentral:rRNA from 1 species